GAGUGAUUUGUCUGGUUAAUUCCGAUAACGAACGAGACCUCAGCCUGCUAACUAGUUGUGCUUAGCCUUUGUUCGCUGUUGGCGCCGGCUUGGUUCUGGUGAUUUAUUUCGCCGGGCCUCGCUGGUUGCUGACUGAACAGUUCUGGCUAGGUCAGGGCUUGACUUCGGUGUUAGCCCGUUCGACUUCUUAGAGGGACUAUCCGGAAAACAUAAAACGGAUGGAAGUUUGAGGCGAUAACAGGUCUGUGGUGCCCUUAGAUGUUCUGGGCCGCACGCGCGCUACACUGGCACAUUCAACGAGUUCUUACCCUAGAUCGAUAGGUCUGGGUAAUCUUUUAAAGUGUGCCGUGAUUGGGCUAGAUGAUUGCAAUUAUUCAUCUUCAACGAGGAAUGCCUAGUAAACGCAAGUCAUCAGCUUGCAUUGAUUACGUCCCUGCCCUUUGUACACACCGCCCGUCGCUCCUACCGAUUGAAUGAUCCGGUGAAAACUGUGGAUCGGGAAGGUCGUGAGUUUACUCAUCGCUUUCUCGAGAAGCGAUUUAAACCUUACCACUUAGAGGAAGGAGAAGUCG
rnacentral:rRNA from 1 species